GACGAACGCUGGCGGCGUGCUUAACACAUGCAAGUCGAGCGGAAAGGCCACUUCGGUGGUACUCGAGCGGCGAACGGGUGAGUAACACGUGAGUAAUCUGCCCCUGGCUUUGGGAUAGCCACCGGAAACGGUGAUUAAUUCCGGAUACGACCACUUCUCGCAUGGGAUGGUGGUGGAAGGUUUUUUCGGCCAGGGAUGUGCUCGCGGCCUAUCAGCUUGAUGGUGAGGUAAUGGCUCACCACGGCUUCGACGGGUAGCCGGCCUGGGAGGGUGACCGGUCACACUGGGACUGAGACACGGCCCAGACUCCUACGGGAGGCAGCAGUGGGGAAUAUUGGACAAUGGGCGGAAGCCUGAUCCAGCAACGCCGCGUGAGGGAUGACGGCCUUCGGGUUGUAAACCUCUUUCAGCAGGGACGAAGCGCAAGUGACGGUACCUGCAGAAGAAGCACCGGCCAACUACGUGCCAGCCGCCGCGGUAA
rnacentral:rRNA from 1 species